rnacentral:rRNA from 1 species
GACCCGGGCUUCUAUAAACCCUUUGUGACAUACCUACAACUGUUGCUUCGGCGGGUAGGCCGUCCCCUGAAAAGGACGCCUCCCGGCCCGGACCGGACCCCCCGCGGGACCGGACCCGGCGCCCGCCGGAGGAUAACCAAACUCUAUUGUAACGACGUUUCUUCUGAGUGGCAUAAGCAAAAUAAUCAAAACUUUUAACAACGGAUCUCUUGGUUCUGGCAUCGAUGAAGAACGCAGCGAAAUGCGAUAAGUAAUGUGAAUUGCAGAAUUCAGUGAAUCAUCGAAUCUUUGAACGCACAUUGCGCCCGCCAGCAUUCUGGCGGGCAUGCCUGUUCGAGCGUCAUUUCAACCCUCAAGCUCUGCUUGGUGUUGGGGCUCUACGGUCGACGUAGGCCCUCAAAGGUAGUGGCGGACCCUCCCGGAGCCUCCUUUGCGUAGUAACAUUUCGUCUCGCACUGGGAUCCGGAGGGACUCUUGCCGUAAAACCCCCCAAUUUUCCAAAGGUUGACCUCGGAUCAGGUAGGAAUACCCGCUGAACUUAAGCAUAUCAAUAAGCGGAGGAA